GAGUUUGAUCCUGGCUCAGAACGAACGCUGGCGGCGUGCCUAACACAUGCAAGUCGAACGGAUUUGAGGGGCUUGCUCCUCAAGUUAGUGGCGCACGGGUGAGUAACGCGUAGAUAAUCUGCCUGAUGAUCUGGGAUAACACUUCGAAAGAGGUGCUAAUACCGGAUAAGCCCACGGGGUCUUUGGAUUCUGCGGGAAAAGGGGGGGACUUUCGGGCCUUCUGUCAUCARAUGAGUCUGCGUACCAUUAGCUAGUUGGUAGGGUAAUGGCCUACCAAGGCUACGAUGGUUAGCUGGUUUGAGAGAAUGAUCAGCCACACUGGAACUGAGACACGGUCCAGACUCCUACGGGAGGCAGCAGUGAGGAAUCUUGCGCAAUGGGGGCAACCCUGACGCAGCAACGCCGCGUGAGUGAGGAAGGUCUUCGGAUCGUAAAGCUCUGUCGGAUGGAAAGAACCGCAUGGGGGUAAAUAGCCCCUGUGUCUGACGGUACCAUCAAAGGAAGCACCGGCUAACUCCGUGCCAGCAGCCGCGGUAAUAC
rnacentral:rRNA from 1 species